UACGGAGGUGGCAAGCGUUGUUCGGAAUUACUGGGCGUAAAGGGCGCGUAGGCGGCAAGGCAAGUCAGGUGUGAAAGCCCCGAGCUUAACUCGGGAAUUGCAUCUGAAACUGCUGUGCUCGAGUUCUGGAGGGGGUAGUGGAAUUCCCAGUGUAGCGGUGAAAUGUGUAGAGAUCGGGAGGAACACCGGUGGCGAAGGCGGGUCUCUGGGCAUUCCCUGACGCUGAGGCGCGAAAGCGUGGGGAGCAAACGGG
rnacentral:rRNA from 1 species